UGCUCUGCACUGGGUGCUCACAACUGGAGGUGGGGGCAAACACCUCUGACCACAUCAGGAGCCCCAGGUGUGCUGGCCCUGGAGUCUCCACGCUCUGCAAAUGAAGCCAGUCGCAGGGCCCUCACUGGGAGAAGGGGAAGAAGAGACCCAGGGAUGCCAACGACGGUGGCAGCGACAGAGGGCAAGCUGCCAACCCAGCCCCUCACCUCGGAGGGAGCGGCAGGCAGAGCCACCCAGACCCUCCAUGUCCCGACAUGAAGG